rnacentral:lncRNA from 1 species
CAUGGUGACGUAGGAGUAAAUAUUUGUUGCAACGGUGAUACUCCUUCAAAUUUGUAACAAGUCAAUAAAAAAUCAAAAUUCGGUGGGGCAGUAUGAGGUAUCAUCAUAAGAAUCGAUAAAAUAUAUAGCAAUCAGUGAAAUGCAAGCAUUCUAAUUGGCUUGUUAUAAGUUUGAUGUAGUAUCACCAUUGCAACGAAUAUUUUGUUGUAGAAUAGAUAAUAGGACGGAGGAG